UACGAAGGGGGCUAGCGUUGUUCGGAAUCACUGGGCAUAAAGGGCGCGUAGGCGGCCGAUCAAGUCGGGGGUGAAAGCCUGUGGCUUAACCACAGAAUGGCCUUCGAUACUGUUUGGCUUGAGACCGGAAGAGGUUAGUGGAACUGCGAGUGUAGAGGUGAAAUUCGUAGAUAUUCGCAAGAACACCAGUGGCGAAGGCGGCUGACUGGUCCGGUUCUGACGCUGAGGCGCGAAAGCGUGGGGAGCAAACAGG
rnacentral:rRNA from 1 species